UGAACACGAAUGAAACGGGCUGGACGACCCACGCACCUAGAGCGGAUAGAAGACUGCUAGCAAGGGCGAGGCUGCCUGUGAAGCGAGGAAAGGUGCGAGGGCGGUGGGAGUCGCGACCCCCGCUCGCGGUGUAGAGAGGAAACCUGCGAGCCCGAGGCCAGCAGAAGGCCGGAGAGGGGCAGGUCCGGAGCGUGCAGACCGGAGGGCGGCGGAACCCGGCCGCCGGGGUCGGGUCCCCGCGCAGCCGCCGGGGUGGGAGUCGCCGGCACGCGCAGCCGCACUCACCUGCCAGACGCUCGCUCCGCGGCCGCAAGCUCGGGUGCCACCCGGGCGCCUCCCUUCCCCCGGGACUCGACUCCGGCCGCCGCCGGAGCUCGGGGCCCCGAGAGUCACGGGUGGUACGGAGGCGGGCAACGCGGCGACCGGCCCCGAGCUCAGGGAGGCGUACAUAGGGGGCGCUGGAAAGGCAACUCCUCGCUCCACCUUCCUCAGCGGUAGCUGACUGCGCUUCCCGGGAACAGCAUCGCACCAGACUCAGUCCGCUGCUCCCGGGCCUUCGCCCGAAGCUUCCCCGAAGGUAGCGGCCGGGUUUCCGGCAGCCACACUCCGCCCCCUCAGCACAGGGCCUUCGCCAUCUUGUUAGAGGCGGGAAGCGGAAAGUGCGCACGCGCGAUGGAAGCGGCUGGCGGGCGUCCCGCUGUUCGGGACUGAGGGACUGGACUGCGCAGCCGCAGCAGCCCAUGCCCUGCCUCUGCGGUAUUUGGUUUGUCUCUUCUGUUCUUUGCCCUGGGGAUCCUGAGUCUCUCUAACCUGCUCAC
rnacentral:lncRNA from 1 species